ACAAGCAACCAGUUGAAAAGAGAAAAGUUUACUAAGUAGCAAGCCACUGACUAAUUUUUCCAAGGUGAGGUUCAAGGCUUGCACUCCGUCUGUGCUGACCCCUGUAAUUCAGUCAAGUGCAGGGAACUCCACAGCAUAAUUUAUGGCAGCUGGGGACUGCAUUUGUACUCUACCCUGG
ensembl:snRNA U1 U1 spliceosomal RNA